GCGCCCAUAGCUCAGCUGGAUAGAGUACCUGACUACGAAUCAGGUGGUCGGAGGUUCGAAUCCUCUUGGGCGUGCCA
rnacentral:tRNA from 1 species